rnacentral:lncRNA from 1 species
GCGGGCCGCAGGCGUGAGGGCGGGGCGGGGAGGGGAGGCCGGGCCGGGCCAGGCCGCCGGGGCUGAGGGCGGCCGCCGGCUCCCGUGUCCCGGCCGGGCUCGGCUGAGGGCCCAGGGGUGCGGAGCGGAGGGCUGGGUGCGGGGGCUGGGCCGUAGGAAGGCGCGAAGGACCGAAGUCGGGCUUCUGGGAGCGUCUCACGCCCUCAUCUACACAAUGAACAAGAGAAGGAAAAGGUUGCAAGAUCUCUACAGGGAUGCACUCAGCCAGAAGAGUAAACAGUAGUAAAAAAUUAUCUUCCGGGAUCUCCCCGAGAGAUAGAGAUAGAGCUGCUGAAAGCCAGCCACACGAACUGCUGCAGGGUUUGCAACAGCAUCCACAGCUGUGAAACUGGAAAGGGCCAACAGGUCAGUCUGCGUCACUCGAAACACCUUCCCUGUUCUCCAUCUGCUACAGGAACCCCUAUUGCGCAGGUACAUGCUUGGGUAUAAACCCAGCCUGACAACAACCAGGAAGACCCAAAAUACCUAGAUAUUGGGAACCUUUCCUAGUUACCAUGCGGGUUUAACCUUUUGUCCAGUCUUGGCAUUGUGAAGGAAGCCAGGAAAGCAGUUUUUUCGGUUUUAUAGCGUGCUGCCUUCCACUGUGUAACACACUCCAAAGUCUUUUGGGUUUUUUUGACAAACUGCUAGUGUUAGAAAAAAAAUAUAAUAUUGUUAUUCAUUUAGCAAUAGAAGUCAACAAGCUUUUUCAUUAUUGACUGGGAAAUGAAUAUCAAAACCCACAAAUUUUAUGCUUAAACAUGAAAAGUCCAAAGAUGUUAGGUCUUUAUCAAAACAAAUUUUAAGAGACAAAUUUGUGUUCUGCACAGAAAUAGAUUUAUUGAAAAUCUUAAGGAAAACAAUAUAUUAACUAGUUCUGUCUGGCAUGCUAUUAUCAUGAUGUUUGUGAUAAAAAUCAAUUAAUAGGCAAAUCACUAUUUUAUACAUUAACUUCAAAUUUCAUACUCUGACUUCAAUCUCAGGGCUGAUUUAAGAAGUACCUUCACGUGGAACAUAUGCUGGGGAUUUUUUGUAUGUUUGUUAAGGCUAGUGUAAUUAGGGGGUUAAUUAGAAUCUUAAAUGCUUAGUUCACAUGUUGUGAGAUAUGUCUCACUCUAUAAAAAGAACUUUAUGACAUGGGAAAAAAGGGUUGUGUUUUUUUUUUUUCUUUAUAGCUGACAGUCUUGUGAAUUGGCAGCAUGAGAGUCCAAAUGAGAGACUAUAAACAUUUUUAAAUAAGCCGUUUCCAAUUUUCUUUUAUGAUUUGUAAUAAUUGAACUCUCUUGUGUUCUUGACGCUCAUAUUGCCACAAUGUUCCUCAAGCUAUACUUACUGUGUCAGCUACCUCUACGUUAUGGCUAUAAAGGUUGUGUCGAGCUGCAUACAGUAGAAACAAAAUAAA